rnacentral:piRNA from 1 species
UGCCAUUAAGUUCUAUGUGCAGGGAUC